AGCUAAUACCGGAUACGUUCUUUUCUCGCAUGAGAGAAGAUGGAAAGACGGUUUACGCUGUCACUUAUAGAUGGGCCCGCGGCGCAUUAGCUAGUUGGUGAGGUAAUGGCUCACCAAGGCGACGAUGCGUAGCCGACCUGAGAGGGUGAUCGGCCACACUGGGACUGAGACACGGCCCAGACUCCUACGGGAGGCAGCAGUAGGGAAUCUUCCGCAAUGGACGAAAGUCUGACGGAGCAACGCCGCGUGAACGAAGAAGGCCUUCGGGUCGUAAAGUUCUGUUGUUAGGGAAGAACAAGUACCAGAGUAACUGCUGGUACCUUGACGGUACCUAACCAGAAAGCCACGGCUAACUACGUGCCAGCAGCCGCGGUAAUACGUAGGUGGCAAGCGUUGUCCGGAAUUAUUGGGCGUAAAGCGCGCGCAGGUGGUUCCUUAAGUCUGAUGUGAAAGCCCACGGCUCAACCGUGGAGGGUCAUUGGAAACUGGGGAACUUGAGUGCAGAAGACGAAAGUGGAAUUCCAAGUGUAGCGGUGAAAUGCGUAGAGAUUUGGAGGAACACCAGUGGCGAAGGCGACUUUCUGGUCUGUAACUGACACUGAGGCGCGAAAGCGUGAGGAGCAAACAGGAUUAGAUACCCUGGUAGUCCACGCCGUAAACGAUGAGUGCUAAGUGUUAGAGGGUUUCCGCCCUUUAGUGCUGCAGCUAACGCAUUAA
rnacentral:rRNA from 1 species